rnacentral:rRNA from 1 species
UGCAGUCGAGCGGACAGAUGGGAGCUUGCUCCCUGAUGUUAGCGGCGGACGGGUGAGUAACACGUGGGUAACCUGCCUGUAAGACUGGGAUAACUCCGGGAAACCGGGGCUAAUACCGGAUGGUUGUUUGAACCGCAUGGUUCAAACAUAAAAGGUGGCUUCGGCUACCACUUACAGAUGGACCCGCGGCGCAUUAGCUAGUUGGUGAGGUAACGGCUCACCAAGGCGACGAUGCGUAGCCGACCUGAGAGGGUGAUCGGCCACACUGGGACUGAGACACGGCCCAGACUCCUACGGGAGGCAGCAGUAGGGAAUCUUCCGCAAUGGACGAAAGUCUGACGGAGCAACGCCGCGUGAGUGAUGAAGGUUUUCGGAUCGUAAAGCUCUGUUGUUAGGGAAGAACAAGUACCGUUCGAAUAGGGCGGUACCUUGACGGUACCUAACCAGAAAGCCACGGCUAACUACGUGCCAGC